GAUCCUGACUCAGGAUGAACGCUGGCGGCGUGCUUAACACAUGCAAGUCGAACGGGAAUUACUUUAUUGAAACUUCGGUCGAUUUAAUUUAAUUCUAGUGGCGGACGGGUGAGUAACGCGUGGGUAACCUGCCUUAUACAGGGGGAUAACAGUCAGAAAUGGCUGCUAAUACCGCAUAAGCGCACAGAGCUGCAUGGCUCGGUGUGAAAAACUCCGGUGGUAUAAGAUGGACCCGCGUUGGAUUAG
rnacentral:rRNA from 1 species